CCCCCUUAUAAACUGCUUUAUUUACAGAACUAGAAAAAAAUGUAAAAUACAAAGGUUGUUCGAUUUUUUUAGUUAUGAUUUUUUGACAUAUAUAUCGUACUAGUGACGUCAUCCAUCUGGGCGUGAUGACGUAAUCGACUAUUUUUUUGAAUGGGAAUAGGGGUCGUGUGCUAGCUCAUUUGAAAUGUUAUUCAAUUCUCUAUACAGUACUAUAAACAUUAAGAUCAUUAUUUAAACAGGGUGUCCAAAAAUUUUUUUUGAAUUAAUAGUUAAACAAUUAAUUUAAUUAAAAAUGUUUUUGGACACCCUGUAUAAUUAAUAAUCUUAAUGUUUAUAGUACUGUAUAGAGAAUUUAAUAAACUUUUAAAUGUGCUAGCACACGACCCCUAUUCUCAUUUAAAAAAAUAGUCGAUUACGUCAUCACGCCCAGAUGGAUGACGUCACUAGUACGAUAUAUAUGUCAAAAAAUCAUAAUAAAAAAAUCGAAUAACUUUUGUAUUUUACAUUUUUUUCUAAUUCUGUAAAUAUAGCAGUUUACAACUGCGUCAAAAUAUAGUGAAUAACCCUGUACCUUCACUGGGGCCGACCGACCGGCUCUGUCCCGUCAUACAGCUGACCAACUAUAAUAACUUUUAUUUAUAUUUAAUUUAGAAUGUGUGUACUGAUUUUCAGCCUUAGUAAAUGGAUUUAAUUACCUUCGUAGGAAAGCAACUUUGAUACCCUCUCAGUAAACCCUGUUCUACGUUUCGCUUGACCGACCGCAGUAUGUUUCUCUACACAAUCACAGUAAUCAACUGUGAAAAAUCUAGCUUUAGUAAAUUCAAAGAGAUUUUUCAGCGCUGCCUCUUGGACUAUUAUCUACUACGACUACUGUACUAAACCUUAUAUGAAAAUGCAGGUAAUGAACAUCAGAGCAUAUGGAAUAAAGUUAACAAGAGUCCACAAUAUAACCUAUUUGGGCGCCAACGUUAACGAAAACUGGAAUAUAAACAACGAAAUGAAUACGCAUUGAUAAAGACAAAGUUGCCUUCUAUAAACUAAGGAAAAUUCUGAUUAAUAGAGAUAUUAGAUUAAACCUUAAAAUCAGAUUGAUACGAUGCUACACAUUGCUGUAUGGCAUGGAGAGGUGGAUUCUUACAGGCACGAAUGAAAGAACUGAAAGACCAGGAAGGCGAAGGAUUUCCUGGCUGAAAAACCUACGUACGUGGUUCAACACAACAACCACAAAUCUUUUCAGAGCAGCAGUAUGCAAAGUGCAGAUUGCCAUGAUGGUCGCCAACAUCCGAAACGGGUAGGCACUACAAGAAGAAUUCUAUUACAACGCUCACAUCGUCAAUGACAGUGACAAUCUGUCGAUGUACCAAAAUAAAAGUCACUAGUAAUACAGGAUUGCUAACUUAAUUUAUGAUUUAGGCUAAUAAAUAGUCACACUUGAUGCUACGUUCAUCCCCAAAAUAAGUUAGAGGCCACAGUUUCAGACACACCCAAUGAUCUGAAAUUGUGACCUCGAACUUAUGUUGGGAUUGAACGAAGUCAUAAUAUAUAAGGAAAUGAAUAAUUUAUCGAAUUUAUGAUAGAUUUGUCUUAAAUAGAAUUUGGCUAGACAUUUUUUAUUAAAAAUAUAACGAUUGUAUAUAAAUUGAAUUAUGAGUUUUGUUUUUAUUUAUUUAGAAAUUAUAUUCAGUAAACGAUUAUGUUAGGGCUUUCAAACAUUUUGAUGUGUUCUUUAACACUGUACAUAAGUAGAAUGACUGAUCUAUUAGAAUUCUUUAGGCAAAAAUUGUACAUAGAUUCGUUGAUUUUUUGUUAAAAUUUUAACAAGUUUUUAUAUUGUAUUUUUGUAGUUAUAACCAGUAGAGACAGAAGGUAAACUUAUUCACUAGCAUAAUGUAUUUAUUAUCAUGUUUUUUAUUUAAUUAAACUAAAUCUAAAAUUAUAGUUAGUAUAAUGGAAUGUAUACAGUGUGUUCGGAAAAGAUCCAACGUCAUGUAGAACACUUUGUAUAUUUGGAACUCUAACGUUCUACAGGACGUGCAAGUGUAUUGAAUUAGACACUACCUCCAUAUGGUUCCUCGACGAGAAAAAUUAAACUUACAAGGUGAACCGACAUUACUUGAUAUCCCUCAAGAUGAUGUACAACGGGUCGACAAUUAAAGAAAACAUCACAUUUUAGUUUGUAAUUGUAAUGGCUCACUUUGUAAAUAUUAGUCGGUUUUGAGGUAAAAGAAAUUUUUGAUGUUUCCUGACGCGUACAUUAUAAAAGACGCGUUUAAGAUAUAAGAGUACUCAAAUGAAAAAGUUUUUUAAUUUUUGAUGAAGGCAAAGAGAAAGAAGGAUAUAGAUUUCAUUAUAAUAAAUACUACGUUCAUCUCCAAGAUAAGUUCGAGGCCUCAGUUUCAGACACAUUCAAUGAUCUGAAAAUGUGUCUGAAACUGUGACCUCGAGCUUAUUUUGGGAUUGAACGAAGUCAUAAUAUAUGAGGAAAUGAAACUACGUCCAUCCCCAAGUUAAGUUCGAGGCCACCGUUUCAGACACAUUAAAUGAUCUGAAAGUGUGUCUGAAACUCUGACAUCGAGCUAAUCUUGAGAUUGAACGAAGUCAUAAUAUACAAGGGAAUGCUACUACGUUCAUCUCCAAGAUAGUUCGAGGCCGCAGUUUCAGACACAUUCAAUGAUCUGAAAAUGUGUCUGAAACUCUGACACCUAGCUUAUCUUGAGAUUGAACGAAGUCAUAAUAUAUAUGGAAAUUAUACUACGUUCAUCCCCAAGAUAAGUUGGAGGCUAUAGUUUCAGACACAUCCAUUGAUCUGAAACUGUGACCUCGAGCUUAUUCUGAGAUUAAACGAAGUCCUAAUAUAUAGGGAAAUGAUACUAUGUUCAUCUUCAGGAUAAGUUCGAGGCCAUAGUUUCAGACGCAUCCAUUGAUCUGAAACUGUGACCUCGAGCUUAUCUUAAGAUUGAACGAAGUUCCUUGAGCUUGUCUUGGUAUUGAACGAACUAUAGUAACAAAAAUGGUCUUCUGUCAUGAUUGGAUAUGGUGGCAUUAUUAAACCCCAAUAACAUGCUAUCUUUACUAUCUUCAAACAAAGUCGUUCCUCAAAAACACUGACAAUACAAUUUUAACGUUGUCAUAAUAUACAAGGGAAUUAUACUAUGUUCAUCCUCAAGAUAGUUCGAGGACACAGUUUCAGACACAUCUAACGAUCUGGUGUCUGAAUUUGUAACCUGUGAAAAUUUGAGCAUAUGUAAGUACAUUAUUGGCGUUAAUAAUCGUAAAAAAAUCAUGACAAAUUUCUUACUCUGACAAAAAGCAUUUUGAAGUUACUAUAACUAGGUUGUCUGUACUUGUAGCUUUCCAUAUAUGUAAUAAUGGCCUUAACCAAAAUUAAAGAAUUUUGAAUCUGGUACUAGAAUAUUGUAGAUAAGAAUAGUUUUCUUUUCGUAAUUAGUUCCUGUUUAAAAAUUUCUUAUAUCUCUGCAAGUAGCAAUGGUUUAAAAUAAAAAAUGCAGCUAUUUUCUCAUGUUGUACAGAUGCUCCCAUUAAGAGAUAAAAAAUAUCGUAUUGUUUCGAGAAAGUAGACAAUUGGACGCUUAGCGUAAUAGGAUUGGAUUGUAGAUGUGUUUGAAAUAUACAUAUAUUAAACAAUUUUAAAACUUUUAAAUUAAAUUUAGGUUUUCUAUUAUCGUGUUUGAUUAUUAUAUAUUGGAAGUUUUGAGAAUUUGAUUCUAGUUGUUAAAGUUGGUCAGUUUAAUCCUGUACUUUCGCACGUAGGGAAAAUAAAAUUGAUUGAAAUAAAUAAUUGAGAAUUACUCUUCUUUUGGUUUAAAUAAUCGUAGGUCCUUUAUUUCUUACCCUUUCGUUUUUUCGCUCUGCAUAUCACAUUUAAUUAAAAACUUAUAUCUCCACUCAUUUCAUAUAUUCUGCUACAACGGUAAUACAAGUAAUUCCGGUAUGUAGUGUACUAUUCAAAUAGUUUUAUUUUUUAACACACAUUCCUGAUGGUUUAUUUUUAUUUGCUAAGCUUUCUCAAGUUGUAGACUUCUCUAUAGAUUCUUCGUCUUUAUAAGCAAUUCUGCUUGUUUAUCGGUGGAUUGAUACCUCUAUGGAAGGUAUCUUAUCACUCCAUCUUUUGCGCGGUCGUCCGAUUAUCUUCUACCGAUUUGUGAUUUAUCUUUUGCUAUUUUGACCACACGGGUCUCACCCAUCCUGCUUAUGUGGUUAUUUCAUUCUUUUUUUCUAUUUAAUGUCUUCUUCUUUAUAUGCUCUACGUUACAUUUUCUUCUAAUGUCUUCACUCCUCUUUCGAUCUCUCAGUAUAUUUCCGAUAAUUCUUCUCACUACUCUCAUCUCUGCUGUUUCCAGUAGUCGUUGUGUUGGGUCUUAUUUCUGAUGCAUGUCAUUAUAGGUGUUACAAUGGCUUUAUAAAUUCUUGUCAUCCCGUCAGUCUAUUUGUUUUUUGUACUUGAUGGCUCACUUCUUUGUCCAGGUCUCUAGUCCAAGAGGCAGCGCUGAAAAAUCUCUUUGAAUUUACUAAAGCUAGAUUUUUUACAGUUUAUUACUGUGAUUGUGAAGAGAAACAUGCUGCGGUCGAUCAAGCGAAACGUAGAGCAGGGGUUACUGAGAGGGUAUCAAAGUUGCUUUUCUACGAAGGUAAUUAAAUCCAUUUACUAAGGCUGAAAAUCAGUACACACAUUCUAAAUUGAAUAUAAUGCAGUCACUGAAGGUGGAUAUGAGCUAUUACCUCCGAUUUCGUUGAACCUCCGUCGAUUUGCAUGAAGAUUGGUGAGUGGUUAGUGGAUAUCUCAAGGAAUAAAGGUGACAUGGUGCCAACUUGCGCUUUUCCCUGGGGGUGGGUGCCACCCCUUCUCGCGGGUGAAAAUUAUUUAAUUAAAAAUAAUUACAUAAUUCGAUAGGGGGACAAAUUCUAAGUAAAAUUUGUUAUGUAAAGUUAUUAAAAUAAAUCAAAACUUUUUGGGUUAUUAAAGAUCAAAGAUUUUAAUUUUUCGUGAGAAAAAUGCAUGUUUUUAACCGAUUUUUCAUAAAUAACUUAAAAACUAAUAAGUUUUUACAAAAAAGUUAUUAUUACCAAAAUUGAAGCUAAUACAAAAAGAAAUAAACCACUUACUAAAAAAACCUUUUAAUGUUGACUAAAAGCAAGUUAUAGGUAAUUGAAUGUAUAUUUCUUUCGGCGAGUACCCAAAUCUAAGUUUUCAAGCUUAAAUAACGGGAAAAUGAUGCAUUUAUAAAAUAGACUUAUUAAACAUUUGUCAAAGUACUUAGAAAUAUCUAUCAAAUGAGUCCUCAAACAAGUUGAUAACAUUAAAAUUUAUGCUCCAAAAUUUUUUCAAAAUUUAUCUUUUAAAGUUUUUUCCAAAAAAUGUUUUUUUUAAAUAACUCCGUUAAUUGUUAGGAUAUAAGGUUCACCUAAAAACUAUUUGAAAGUUAUUUCCAAGUAAAAUUAAACAACGUUGAAUUUAAUCUUUUAAACUCCUUACUUUUUUAAAAAUAAAAGGUCAAAUGGCCCCGGUUAUAUGGUUCUCGCAGCAAAAUUUAAGCUUUAAACGUUUCUAUCUCGGUUAUUUUUUACCCUACAGAAAUAAUAAAAAAGGUAAAAUAUUUGAUAUAGAAAAAAGUAAAAUUUGGUUAUUUAUCAUUUUUUACGUAUAUUGAGUAUUUUGGAGUUAUUAUCAAAAGAAAAUGAAAAUUACGAUCAUUUUAAAAAUUCUGAUUUUUUUAAUUAUACCUUUUUUUCAAAAAUUUUUAUUCUAAACCGGUAAAAGUUUUUGAAAUCAUUACUUAUGCUAACAUAAAGAAAUUAUUUUAAGGAUUACUAUAAAUUUUAAUUUUUAUGGAAAUGGGGUAUGUUUUAUUUUUCACUUUUUCCUAAAAAAUUCGAAAGGGUUGUCUUAUUUUCAUCAUAACUUGCUUAAUUUUAAUGCUACUAUAUUAUUCUGAAGCUCAGUUGAUAGGUAAUCCUAAGUGCUUUGACAAGUUCUUAACAGGUAUAUUUAUAAAAGGCAUCGUUUUCCCGUUAUUUAAGCUUGAAUACUUAGAUUUGAGUACUCGUCGAAAAAAAUUUACAUUCAAUUACCCAUAACUCACUUUGACUUAAUAUUAGUUUAGUUCCUUAGGUAAAGAGUGUACUCAAUUUUUUAUUAUCUUCAAUUUUGUUAAUAAUAACUUUUUUGUAAAAGCCUAUGGUUUUUGAGUUAUACGUGAAAAACCGCUUUAAAGCAUGAUUUUUUUUACGAAAAAAUAAAAUCUUUGAUCUUCAAUAACUCAAAAAGCAUCGAUUUAUAUUAAUAACUUUAUAUAACAAAUUUUGCUUAGAAUUUGUCCUUAUAUCGAUUUAUGUUAUUUUUUUGAUAAAAGAAUUUUCACCACCGAGAAGGGGUGGAAUCCACCCCUAAGGUAAAAGCGCAAAUUUGCAUCAUGUCACCUUUGUUGCUUGAGGUAUCCUCUAACUACUCACCAAUUUUCAUGAAAAUCGAUGGAGGUUCAACGAAAUCGGAGGUGAAAACCUUCAGUGACUCCACUAAUAUAAAUAGAAGAUAUUAUAGUCGGUCAGCUGUAUGACGGGACAGAGCCGGUCGGUCGGCCCCAGUGAAUGUACAUGAUUAUUCACUAUAUUUUGACCCCCCUUGUAAACUGCUUUAUUUACAGAAUUAGAGAAAAAUGUAAAAUACAAAAGUUAUUCGAUUUUUAAAUUAUGAUUUUUUUACAUAUAUAUCGUACUAGUGAUGUCAUCCAUUUGGGCGUAAUGACGUAAUCGACUAUUUUUUUAAAUGGAAAUAGGGGUCGAGUGCUAGCUCAUUUGAAAGGUUAUUCAAUUCCCUAUUCAGUAAUAUAAACAUUAACAUGAUUAAUUAUACAGGGUAUCCAAAAAAAAAUUUUUAAUUAAAUUAAUUGUUUAAUUAAUAAUUCAAAAAAAUUUUGGACACCCUGUAUAAAUAAUGAUCUUCAUAUUUAUAGUACUGAAUAGAGAACUGAAUAACCUUUCAAAUGAGCUAGCACACGACCCCUAUUCUCAUUAAAAAAAAUAGUCGAUUACGUCAUCACGCCCAGAUGGAUGACGUCACUAGUACGAUAUAUAUGUCAAGAAAUCGAAUAACUUUUGUAUUUUACAUUUUUUUCUAAUUCUGUAAAUAAAGCAGUUUACAAGGGGGUCAAAAUAUAGUGAAUAGCCCUGACAUUCAUUGGGGCCGGCUCUGUCCCGUCAUACAGCUGACCGACUAUAAUAACUUUUAUUUAUAUUCAAUUUAGAAUGUGUGUACCGAUUUUCAACCUUAGUAAAUGGAUUUAAUUACCUUCGUAGGAACGCAACCUUGAUACCCUCUCAGUAACCCCUGCUCUACGUUUCGCUUGAUCGACCGCAGUAUGUUUCUCUACACAAUCACAGUAAUCAACUGUGAAAAAUCUAGCUUUAGUAAAUUCAAAGAGAUUUUUCAGCGCUGCCUCUCCGUCUACUCCAUAGAUGCCAUCAAUUUCUAGUUUAUAUCUGAUUGAGUUCUUUCACCUUGAUUACUGUUGUUUUUUUUUUCUUAGUUGGGAUUGUUAUAUUAAUUCUUAUGCUCGUAUGUUACAUGUGUGGACUAGUAUGUGCAGACUAUCUUCAUCUUAGGCUAUCAAAAUUGGGUCUACUGCGUAACAAGAGUAUUUUUACUUCUUCAUGUCGAAAUCUGUACACUCUUUCUUUGCUUACAUUUUCGAAGAUUUCAUCGAUGAUUAAAUUGAAGAGCAAGCGGCUUAAUGAAUCAACUGUAAGUUGUCUAUCUUAGCAAUUGUCCAUAAGCAAUUUUGCUUGUUCUUGUGUCCGCCAUUCUGUUGAUGUGAUUGUUCCAUUCUUUUUCUAUUUAGAGUCCACUCGUUUAUACUCAGUAUUAGUUCUGAUCUCGUUACUUCUUAUUCAGUCUCUCAGCGUGUUGCAUGUAAUUUUACUGAGUAUUCUCAUUUUUGCAAUUUCCAGCAUUUUCUGUGUUUUGACUCUCAGGACGUGUUACUGAUGCGAAUGUCAUUAUGGGUCUUAUGCUGGCCCUUAUACUGAUUUCAUAUCACAGUUACGCCAUAUAGUGUUAAUGAGGCUUUUUUCAAUGACUCCAUUUCAUUACUUCAUUUCCAUUACUUGUUCAACUCCAUAAACUUCCAGUUUUCAUAUGAUCCGUUCUUUACUGAAUACUAUGGUUCUAGUCUUCUUAGUUAAAGGUACUGUAGUUGAUUGGAUAUAAUAAGAGAUUAUUUAUGAAGACAAUGAGGCCGACUUUACUUAGUAACAGGACAACGGUUACUAAGUUAUACAGUGUCAACUGUUACAAACAAUACACGCUAUCACAUGUACAGUAAGCCAAUUGGCUGCGGUAAGACGAAAAAAGCACCAUCUGCAUUCCACUUAGAAUAGUAGAUGAAUAUCUGAAACGCUAAUUUAUGGUAAGAAUCUAUAACUCUUUCUUUUGUAGAACAUCACCCUUGUAUCGAGUAUAACAUUGCGUAGAUAGGACUGCGUAUUUCUUAUGGACGAUAGAAGCGCGCCGAUGCCGCUUCUAUCGUAUCGAGAAUGAAUCUUAUAUUGGCAAACUAGUAGCAACACCUGCUGGAGAGUUUUGGCAACACUGAUCUGCAUAAGUCAAACGUUCCAUUCUUAACGUGAAAUAAAGAAUAGUACCACUAUAUCGUCACAUUUUCUCAUUGAAUACUUUUACUGUUGACUGUAUUUGCCCAUUUUGUUAUAAAUAUUUUUCCAAUAAAUAAUGUUGUUGAUUGUAAUUUUGUUAGUUGUGCGACUGUUUAAUAACGUCUUAGUGGAUUGCCUAGUGCACACUGUGCUUGUUGGCAGUAGAGGAUUAAAUUUUAUGUGGAGGCUGUUGUGUGGCAAAAUAUGGAUUAAGUAUAUAUUAGAUUAUGUAGCAAAUUGUAUAACGUAUCAUUGUUUUUGAUAAAUUAUUUAACCAAAAUCGAAAUAGUGCGAGUAAUAUUUCUGCAAGGAGCAUCUAGUAUAAUACAACUGUACAUAAUGUUUCGUUUUGUUAAAGGAAAUGCAAAAUGUUUCUUUUGUAUAUAUAUGUUAAUGAGAAUCUUGAAAUUCUACCUUUUAUAUUUAUUCUAAUACUAGGUAGGCUAUGAAACUCUAAGCGAUAUUAUAAAAAACGCUAAGAGCGAUUGUUGGAGAAGAAUGAUUUAUACCAGUCAUAGUAAAUUUUUGAGCUUUUUCAAAUAUAAAGCUCCGCAAUUUUCAAGAACUAAUUUAAAUAAAUUCUUGAGGCAUACGAACCUACAUUUAAAUGAUUUUUCUCCAUGGUUUUAAAUAUAUCCAACUUGAUUAAGGACUUGUUAUCCUCAGAUUUAGUUAUCAUGGUGAAUUAGAAUAUAGAUGCUUUGGAAUCACACGUAAGUUCCUUAACUGAUACAUCUCUGUCACGAUCUCAGACUACAAUAAAAUUGGUAGUAUCAAUUACAAAUAAUUGCGGUUUAGACUCGGCUUUGUGACUGCGAUUGUGAUUUAGGCUAUGGAGGACAUUAGUUGAUUAGUUUUCACUUCGGUAUGGGAAAAAAAUUCAUAAAUAUAAAAGUUUCUACAAGGUUACCGUUUAUCUUUUAUCCGUUUUAAAAGAUUUGCAAGUGAAAUAUAUGUAGGUUUAGUUAAAGACAAUCGUAAUAAAAGUCCGUGUGAUGUUUAACAGUUUUAAUUAAUAAAAUAGAUAACUAAAUUAUAGAUACUAUUAAAUUGACGAAAUGUAAAAGUGUUUGUGUAAUUGCGACUAAAAUUUUACGAGUUCUCACAAAAGAAAAUGUCUUUGAAAUAAUCGCGUUUAUCUACUUAAUAUAUGACUGGGUUGUCAAUAUAUUAGUACGUCUUAAACUUCGCGUCCUUUCGAUUAUCGCCAAAUACAGCCUCUUUCAUUCGAAUCUAAAAAUCAACUGCUUCUUGCACCCCCUACGCUAAAACAAAUUCUCUUACAUCUAAUCUCCCUUUUCCGUUUUCCCCUGAGAACCAACCUAUUAAAAUUGGAUCAAAGUAUGUACAGACUUUUUCCAAUAAACGAAAACCAAUAAAAUUAGUCAAGACGGCUACUGUUUAUCUUAAACUCCGAUUCCAGACGAUUCGCACAUGUGGCAUAUGUGUUUGUAUGCGUGAGACCCUUUUUCGUGCUUGUAAUAAUAAUUAAGAAAAAAUAUAUACAGUAGACUUAAAAAUAUGUAUAAGGUAAAAUAUUUACAACUCUACAUAUAUAUACAAAGAAUUACACAUAAAUAUUAAUUAAAUAAUGCACUGAACUUCUGCAAGUGGAAUUGACCCCCAAAAAGAGACAAAUAUGGGAACAAUAUUUGGAAAAUCGUUUUCACAAUAGACGACGCAAAUAUUGAAGUAGUAAAACAGCUCACAUACAGGGGCGUACUGAUAACUGAGGACGGCAGCGAGGGGAGGGAAUACGGAAAAGAAUAAUGCUUGCAAAAUAUUCUCUCUAUUCAAAGACAUCCAUAGGGAAGUAAAAAAAAUAUAAAAGCAUCAUACGACCAAUAGCAACAGCAACAUAUGGCUUAGAAAAAUAGAUCAUGUCAGAGAAGACAAUAAACAUCAAUAUUUUGAAACAAAGAUGUUAAGAAGGAUAUCGGGACCCACCUGCGACAGUAAUUGUAUGUGGAGGAAUAAGGUUUAACCACGAAUUGUAUCAAUAUUGCAAAGAACCCUCCAUAGAAAAUUAUGCAAAAAUACAAAGAUUGUACUGGGCAGGUCACCUUAUAAAAAUGAAAAAUAAAAGAACACCUAAUAGAACGCUUAGCGUAACUAUGGUAAGAUGACGGUCAGUAGGAAGACAAAGGAAGAGGAAGAUAGACGAAGUGCAAACCGAUCUUAAAGCGUUAAGAGAGAGAGAUUUGGAGGCUCGUAUUUGGUGAUUAAAGAACGUCUACAAAUAGACAACCAAAAUGCAAAUAAUUUUUAGUUCAAUUCAUAACACUUGUUAAAAAAAAGACGGUAACACCGAUUAUAUAAAAUAUAAAACAAGGUUUUUGUCAGUAAUACAUUUUGUUUCUCCUAGUAUUUAAUACAUAUUCCAGAUCAUCCAAAUGGUACUAUAAUAAAUAAAAUCAUAAAUAAUAAUGCCGAGUAUGUGGUUAAUACUGUUAUAUUAGCUGAAUCGAAAGAGAAAAUAACAGCUUUAAUAGACGAACUAUUAAAAGAAAACCACAAGAUAAUUUUGAAAUCAAUAUUUCAAAAAAGGAAAAUGCUGUGUUCAAUAGCACCCUCCAAAAAAAGGGUAGCCUACAUGUAUUUCUAUAUGGACAGAGCAAAGUGGACCACUACAAAGAAAUUUGAGAGAAAUUGAAAUAGCAAGACCUGGUUUAUGAACAUGAGUAACAUCGCUGUCACCAAAAAUUUUCAUUAUAAUAAAAUUUCUAAUGUUACAAUGCUAUGUAAGAAACAUGUACACUGAAACAAGAAGACAAAAGACUAAACGUACCUAUUCGAAAUUUUCAUAGAAACCUUACCAUAACUAUGAUAACAUCCAGCCUCCGCUAGGAGAAGGAACUUUAACAGUAUUCUGUUUCAAAACUAAAAUGUCAAAAGUUCCUCCAAAAUUGCCUGGUUCUUUUAAAACGGUAGCAAUAUUUUGAGAUGUAUAUUGCGUAUACAGCACCGUAUCUUUAUCUUUUACGAUUACGAGUUUAUAUCUCGAGACAUAUCUUUUACAUGAUGUUCCAAAAGAAUCAAAACGUGUGACAUUUAGCCCAAAACACUAAAAAAUAUGUAAAAUUUCGUAAAAAAAAAUACCUAAAAAAACUUGCAUGUGCAUAAGUGCUAAAAUUAUGUGUUCAAUGUGGAAUUAUAACGUAUAUCUGAGGAUUAUUAGCCCUUGACAUAUAUUUCUUAUGUAUUUAUAUACCUAGUUGUAAGGGUUUGAGAAAAGAUUCAUUUUUUAAAUUUAAAAAAGCAUUUUUUAUCUCAACUUUUGAUCUUGUUUUAAUGAUUAGACUGAUACGUUUUAGGUAAUUUUUGUCUGUAUUUAGACUUGAUUGUUGGACAUUAAAUAAAUUAUUGUUUUUGUCUGCCCUAAGAAUGUAAUAGUCUCAAUUUGUUUUGAAAAUUUUGUGAAUACAGGAUGUUUAAAGAUUGUUAAAAUAAGUUUAAUUUUACAGGACCAUAAAAUUAAACUAAAUUUUUCUUGGACUGUAAAAUAAAGUAAAAUAUAAAGCUACUUCAAUACAA